rnacentral:lncRNA from 1 species
GGACCCCCAGUUUCCCUUCUGCUCCAGGCCAUGAAUAUCCCAUGCUCCAGGGUCCAUCCCCUUCCCUGCCUGCUCCCCAGAAACCACAUUACUCCAGGCCCCUUCAUUCACCCUGCCACCUUAGCAUGUCUCCAAGCUUCCUCAGGAUGAUCUCUGAAAUUUGCCCUGCCAUUGCAGCAUCAAACCAUGAGGAUGGAAAGACAGGAACCCCACAGGGAACAGGAAGGGGUCAUUUCGGGCAAAAAGAAAAGGAAAAAGUAUUCUGAGGAAGAUUAUUCUGAGGUGCUGCUGUUGUUCCGACCAAAGCCAACUGCGGCAAAGAAGAAACUGGGGGAUGGUUGGCUGCACGCAAUACCCACUCAGAGCAGCACAAGUUGGCUGCAGCAAGUGCAUAGCCAACCAGGGCACUGCUACCUUAAAUCUCCGACUAGAAGUGCAGGGGCGCUCAAACACCUAAAAGUGGAGCACCCACAGGGACAGUCCUCAAAGAAGAUCAUCAAUUGUCCCUCUAGGCAGCUGUCCAUCCCUCCAUAUUUUCCUGUACAAUCCCCAAUCAUUUCUACAAUAUAAUUUUGCUUUGUCAAUAUAAAAUCUGCUGCAAAACUGAAAGAUGGCGGUCAGCGUAAGACAAAUUGAUUUUGAUAUGUUUCACAGUAGCAACCGUGCUAGUCUGUAUCCGCAAAAAGAACAGGAGUACUUGUGGCACUAGAGAGACUAACAGCCCUUUCUUCUUUCCACACUAGCCUGCCAAAGGCACCUCUGCCCCCUCCUAGAGAGCAGGUUACCCCCAACACUACACAAUGGGAGUGACUCUCUGGUCACUCAGUAACAUACUUAAAGGUGGCAAUUUUGCAACAGAAAAGCUUCAAAAACAGACUCCAACAAGAAACUGCUGAACUUGAAUUAAUAUGCAAAACUAGAUACCAUUAAUUUGGGCUUGAAUAGAAACUGGGAGUGGCUGGGUCAUUACACAAAUUGAAUCUAUUUCCCCAUGUUAAGUAUCCUCACACAGUUUUGUCAACUGUCUGAAAUGGGCCAUCUUGAUUCUCACUACAAAAGUUUUUUUUCUCCUGCUGAUAAUAGCUCAUCUUAAUUAAUCAGCCUCCUAGAGUUGGUAGGACAACUCCCACCUUUUCAUGUUCUCUGUAUGUAUAUAUAUCUUUUUACUAUAUCUUCCAUUCUAUGCAUCUGAUGAAGUGGGCUGUAGCCCACGAAAGCUUAUGCUCAAAUAAAUUUGUUAGUCUCUCAGGUGCCA